GAUGAAGAACGUAGCGAAAUGCGAUAAGUAAUGUGAAUUGCAGAAUUCAGUGAAUCAUCGAAUCUUUGAACGCACCUUGCGCCCUUUGGCCAUUCCGAAGGGCAUGCCUGUUUGAGUAUCAUGAACACCUCAACUCUCAUGGCUCGCCAUGAUGAGCUUGGAUUUGGGGGUCUUGCUGGCCUGUGGUCGGCUCCUCUCAAAUGGAUCAGCUUGCCAGUGUUUGGUGGCAUCACAGGUGUGAUAACUAUCUGCGCUUGUGGUUUUCCAUCAGAUAACCUUCAGUGAUGGAGGUUCGCUGGAGCUCAUAAACGUCUCCCCUAAGCGGGGACAGCCCUUUGAAUGUUUGAUCUCAAAUCAGGUAGGACUACCCGCUGAACUUAAGCAUAUCAAUAAGCGGGGA
rnacentral:misc_RNA from 1 species